GCUGAGAUAGACCAGUUGGUAGAACAUGAGACUCUUAAUCUCAGAGUCGUGGGUUCGAGCUGCAUGUUGGGCA